rnacentral:rRNA from 1 species
UACGUAGGGGGCAAGCGUUAUCCGGAAUUAUUGGGCGUAAAGCGUACGUAGGUGGUUACCUAAGCACAGGGUUUAAGGCUAUGGCUUAACUAUAGUUCGCCUUGUGAACUGGGCUACUUGAGUGCAGGAGAGGAAAGCGGAAUUCCUAGUGUAGCGGUGAAAUGCGUAGAUAUUAGGAGGAACACCAGUGGCGAAGGCGGCUUUCUGGACUGAAACUGACACUGAGGCACGAAAGCGUGGGGAGCAAA